UUACUGGGCGUAAAGCGCACGCAGGCGGUUUGUUAAGUCAGAUGUGAAAUCCCCGGGCUCAACCUGGGAACUGCAUCUGAUACUGGCAAGCUUGAGUCUCGUAGAGGGGGGUAGAAUUCCAGGUGUAGCGGUGAAAUGCGUAGAGAUCUGGAGGAAUACCGGUGGCGAAGGCGGCCCCCUGGACGAAGACUGACGCUCAGGUGCGAAAGCGUGGGGAGCAAACAGGAUUAGAUACCCUGGUAGUCCACGCCGUAAACGAUGUCGACUUGGAGGUUGUGCCCUUGAGGCGUGGCUUCCGGAGCUAACGCGUUAAGUCGACCGCCUGGGGAGUACGGCCGCAAGGUUAAAACUCAAAUGAAUUGACGGGGGCCCGCACAAGCGGUGGAGCAUGUGGUUUAAUUCGAUGCAACGCGAAGAACC
rnacentral:rRNA from 1 species